AUUGAACGCUGUCGGCAGGCCUAACACAUGCAAGUCGAGCGAGCGGCGGACGGGUGCGUAAUGUCUGGUAAACUGCCUGAUGGAGGGGGAUAACUACUGGAAACGGUAGCUACUACCGCAUACCAUCAGAUGUUCCCAGAUGGGAUUAGCUGUGAGGUGGGGUAACGGCUCACCUAGGCGACGAUCCCUAGCUGGUCUGAGAGGAUGACCAGCCACACUGGAACCGAGACACGGUCCAGACGCCUACGGGAGGCAGCAGUGGGGAAUAUUGCACAAUGGGCGCAAGCCUGAUGCAGCCAUGCCGCGUGUGGGAAGAAGGCCUUCGGGUUGUAAAGCACUUUCAGCGGGGAGGCGUUACCCGCAGAAGAAGCACCGGCUAACUCCGUGCCAGCAGCCGCGGUAAUUC
rnacentral:rRNA from 1 species